rnacentral:misc_RNA from 1 species
UCUCCGGAUUGGCUUUGGGAAGCUGGCAACGGCCUCCUAUUGCUGAGAAGCUGAUCAAACUUGGUCAUUUAGAGGAAGUAAAAGUCGUAACAAGGUUUCCGUAGGUGAACCUGCGGAAGGAUCAUUAGUGAAUUAAACAUGCUUGGUGUCUUCGCUUCGGCAAGGCCCUUGCUUAACUCACAUCCCAACACCUGUGAACUGUAAGGUGCAUGACUAGGUUCGCCCAAGUCAUCGUCUGCCCUUUUUAACAAACAAUUAAUGUAACAAACGUAGUCUUAUUAUAACCUAAUAAAACUUCCAACAACGGAUCUCUUGGCUCUCGC